rnacentral:rRNA from 1 species
AUACGUAGGGGGCUAGCGUUGUCCGGAUUUAUUGGGCGUAAAGAGCGUGUAGGCGGCCAGGUAGGUCUGCUGUGAAAACUCGAGGCUCAACCUCGAGACGUCGGCGGAAACCAUCUGGCUAGAGUCCGGAAGAGGAGAGUGGAAUUCCUGGUGUAGCGGUGAAAUGCGCAGAUAUCAGGAAGAACACCCGUGGCGAAGGCGGCUCUCUGGGACGGUACUGACGCUGAGACGCGAAAGCGUGGGGAGCGAACA